rnacentral:misc_RNA from 1 species
GGAUGAAGAACGCAGCGAAAUGCGAUAAGUAAUGCGAAUUGCAGAAUUCCAGUGAGUCAUCGAAUCUUUGAACGCACAUUGCGCCCUUUGGUAUUCCGAAGGGCAUGCCUGUUCGAGCGUCAUUAUCACCCCUCAAGCCCUCGGCUUGGUGUUGGACGGUUUGGUGGAGGCCCCCUCGGGGGCUCCUGCCCCUCCCAAAGACAAUGACGGCGGCCUCGUUGGACCCCCGGUACACUGAGUUCUUCACGGGACACGUAUCGGACACAUGGGUUUACGGGACACGGUCUGCCUCCCCUCAGGGAGAAUCUUUCUAAGGUUGACCUCGGAUCAGGUAGGGAUACCCGCUGAACUUAAGCAUAUCAAUAAGCGGAGGA